rnacentral:rRNA from 1 species
AGGGCACCACCAGGAGUGGAGCCUGCGGCUUAAUUUGACUCAACACGGGGAAACUUACCCGGCCUGGACACUGGAAGGAUUGACAGAUUGAGAGCUCUUUCUUGAUUCAGUGGGUGGUGGUGCAUGGCCGUUCUUAGUUGGUGGAGCGAUUUGUCUGGUUAAUUCCGAUAACGAACGAGACUCUAGCCUAUUAAAUAGGCUCCCGGCUUUUAAACGCCGGGAGGACUUCUUAGAGGGACAGGUGGCGGUUCAGCCGCACGAAAGAGAGCAAUAACAGGUCUGUGAUGCCCUUUGUUGCCCGGGGCCGCACGCGCGCUACACUGAAGAGAUCAGCGUGCUUUACGUUCCUGCUCCGACCGGAGUGGGGAACCCAGUGAACCUUCUUCGUGAUUGGGAUAGAAGAUUGUAAUUAUUCUUCUUGAACGAGGAAUUCCCAGUAAAUGCGAGAAUAAGCUCGCGUUGAUUACGUCCCUGCCCUUUGUACACACCGCCCGUCGCUACUACCAAUUUAACAAAAAA